ACAACAUCCCACCCCAACUGGAUGAAUUGCAAAGGUACCAAGAUCUCAUUUAGAAAUCCUCACUAUUUUCAUGUGAUUUGAGAAAGGAUUGUAUUUAAAUGGCGUUUUGGCAUUUGGAGGGAAACAGACACGCCCUGUCGGGUGAAAUCUCAGGGAUGAUCAGUGAACAAAAACACUGUCACCAAGUAAGUAAACAGUGACAAGUUUAUAAGAUGCUGUUGGCAGUAGCUGGAUUUCUCAGCGCUGAACACUUGAGCUGGGCAUGGUGGGAGCGGCUGGUUAGCCAUUUGUCAGGCAAAGUCAAAACAGCCCUCCAGCUACAGCACAGACGGCAGUCUGCAGCUCGUCAGCAUUUUAUUUAUGACUCUUAAUUAGCAAGCAAAAAAGGAGGGAAGAAGUUCCCAGUUUGGGAUAUACAUACUUAUACAUACAUAUUUUGCCCAGAAAUUAUCUUUGUCAAAAUAAUUUAAAUCCUUACAACCCUGGGAUGUAGAUAUUAUAAUUUACAUUUUAUAGACAGGAAAUUCCAUCCUGCAAGGUAAGUAUAAUUAUCCUGAUUUUACCCAUGUAGGUUCAGAGAAGCCAAGUGAUUUUUCCAAGGUAACACAGCUAGAACAUGGGGGAGCUGGGACUGACAAUCUUCAAACGCUAAUGCAAAAGGCUCUUUCAAACACACCAUGGUUGGCUCUUACCUGGCACGUCAUAGUAAUAGUCCAUUGACUUUGGUUAAAAGAGAGUUGACUACCAAACUCAUUACACUUGUGAGUAAACUUCUCGUUCUUAUGGUUAGAAUUAAUUCUUCGGAGGGAGGGGAGUUAUUGAGCCAGUGAGGAACAAAAGAUGACUGAGUAAGCAAGGUCAGCUCUCUGCCUACUUUGGAAGAACUUGGGGUCUGGCACUGCGACCCACAGAGUCUAAGCAGGCAAAGGGUAGGGAAUAAAAAGUGGAUCCCAUGAGUCCAAAGUGACUCUGCUCUAUGGUGAAGGAGUCUUUGAGCUGCGGAGCCUUCGAGUGCUUGUGAGGUGUAGGAAGCAUCAGACACACGAGCGGGCCUGGCAACUCUAAACAUGUCAGAUUGCUUACGCCAACCAUCUCCUUCCAGAUGGCACUUAGAAAGGGUUGCAUCAAUUACUUCUGAUCACUGAUUUGACCAAAAAACAGGAGUUAUUUAUAUAAGAUAGAAAAGAACAUUUUUAUUGACAUAAAUCUUCAUUAUUGCAGGUUUUUGUUUUUUAAGUCCUGUGAAAUCCAAAGGACAAAGUGUGUCUAUUUAUUCUCAAGGAUUCCAAGCCUCACUAAAGGAUGAACUGGAAGGCCACAGCUUCCAAACCCUCUGAGGAGGUGUGGUUGGCAUUGUGGAGAUGGCCAGUAUUUCUGGUUCUCUCCUCCUGCAGGGACAUGAAAAGAUCGCACUUCUCCAUCCCCCUGAAGUAUGAAUUUAAAUCGACUGACAAGAGAAGGAAAGAUCAGCAGCAACUCCUCUGGCACAGUCAGUCAGAGCAUCUCCAUGUAGUCAAACGAUAAGCACUGCAUCUUCACAUUUGCUAUUGUGAUCACUGUUGAACCACAAAGACAAGGAUGGAUGAGGAUAAAGAUACGCUUCUCUGCACAACAUACAGAAGGAAUGGUCCUGGAUUAAAUCAGGGUUCUUAACCUCAAUAAUAAGGAAAAGCACAUGGAUCUCUGCUGACUGAGAUCAGAACCUUAGCAAGCCUCUUCUCUCAAUAAAACACAGAGAACAAGGAAAGAAAUUGAUAUUUAACGAAUACUUACUAUUUGCCUGGCCCUCUGUUAGGUGCUUAAUAUUAUCUUUUUAUCUUUAUAUCAUUAUGGCAAGUUUGGUAUUAUUAUUCUCAAUAAAUCCUAAAAAACAUUCCAGAGGCUGAAAGAAGGUAAAGAACUUGUCCAAGGUCCCCCAACUAGUAAGUGAAAGAACUGAGCUUUGAGCCCAAGUCUGUCUGAUGCCAUUGCUGUCACUACAUCCCUUAGUCUUUCAUGCUGAAAAUGUACAAAGAGGGGUCAUGAAGGUGAGAGACCCUCCCCCGGGAUCAUAGUUUACAAAGUCAACAAGUCAUACUUAUCUCUCCUAUAAACCUGACACAGGAGCAAAUGGAUUCUAACCCCUUAGAUGAUCUAAAUACAUUUGUGAUUUUCAUUAAAGCAAAAUAGCAAUUAUGUACUUGAAAUAUUUAUAAAAUAAGUCAACUACAUUUGAGGGAAAAUGUAAAAGCAUUGCAAUUAAACAGAUCUGCACACACUGCAGGGUGUUUUUCUAACAAAAGGAGUAAGGAAUAAUGCUGCUAAUAAAAACAAUGAUGAUCUUGUUUAAAUGUUCUAAUAACUCAUUCAGCACUGUUCUGAGUGGAACUGUAUAUUAGUAAUUUCAAAUAAAGUCUUUGAUGAAAGAUUAAAUAUAUCUUCUGCUCAUUCUCCUCUGCAAAGCUAGUGAUUCAAGUGGCUAAUUUGUUCCCUUUCUUCUGGUAAAAUGUUUUAAGUAAUCUAUAAAUGUUUUUCUCCUUCUAUUCAUAUUGUAAGAGGAACCAAGUGAAUAAUAAUGACUAAAAAUAGUGAGUUAUACUGAUGCAUUGGAACAUAAUUGGUGCUCCC
ensembl:lncRNA